rnacentral:tRNA from 1 species
GGUGAGGUGGCCGAGUGGUUGAAGGCAGCAGUCUUGAAAACUGCCAGAGUGAAUAGCUCUCGUGGGUUCGAAUCCCACCCUCACCG